UGCUACAGGAGGAGGACGAAACCUAGGAGCCGAGGGCAGGGAGGGGGCCCAGAACGGGGCAGGAGAGAGAGAAGGCCCGGGCCAGCCCUGAGCCGAGCCUGACGCAGGGGCUGCUAAGCCUGACGCCUCUGAGCGCUGGGCCAGUAUGGUGUUCACCGACUGGAGGCUACCUAGUAAGCUCAUUUAAUUCUCUUCACCGCCCGAGGAGGGGGGCCGCCGCUCCACUUUCUGGAGACUCAUGGAGGUCGUGUGAGUCAGCGGCUUCUGGGCCUGCGGAGGGGCCCCGUGAGCAGAGGCAGACGCCGCCGGUGGGACUCGUCACGGAUCGUCUGAAGAACGGGCUGGGGCAGGCCGAGGAGACAUCUGUCAGGCCCAGGACCUGAGGCUCCCUGAGGUAGGACCCACGAUUUUUCUGCAUUUCCUCUGUGGCUCCUGGUGGAGGUCGCAGGCCCGCCAUCGGAGGAGCAGCACAGAGCAGGAGAGAACAAGGGGAGAUUUGGAGCAACGGACAAGACAUGUCUUCGGAGCAGAGGGGUUCUGAGUCCAGACAGAAGGAGGGAAAAACGCAGGGGAGCAGGGGCGCCUCAGAGUGACAGCCGGCUUGCUAAUGCCUGCUCACAGAUAAUUCUGUUUCAGGUACUCGGAGGAACUCCUGUCUCAGAGUUCAGACGGCUUUACUGGGUGAAUGAGCCGGUUCCACGCCCAAGGGAGCUGCAGUCUAAUGGGAAUCACCCUACUCCAACGGAGAAAUGUUAAAACAGCGUGUUUUAAAUUUCAAAAAGAAUGUGUGAAUUUUAUAGGCCGCUGACACUCUAUAGAAAUUCGCUGCACAGGAGGGGAAAACAUCCUCCCUUCUUUCCCCUCCAAAACCAAGGCCUUAAGAUAAAGCAAUACUUGAAUGACAGACCAUGGCAGCCUUGGGGGGCCUGGUGACAGCAUGGAAGGGAAAGGUGGCACCUGCCGCUCCCUGGGACUCUGGCCUGUGAGGGCCUUUCCCUGGGGUUCAAGAAACACAGGGGUGCAUGAGUUUGAACCCUUGCUCUUCUCAGCCCCUGCUACCUUCCUGAAAUAAAGGGUUAACUCCCAGCUGACCUCACGAGGUUGGAAACAAAACCAUAAAAGAUUCAGACACCUCCCAACGAAAUGAUGACUGAGCUGUCUUUGGUAGGCCAGACAAUCAGGGUCAGGUCAGAAUCAUGGGAGCUUCCAAACCACGUGGGGUCUGAUUUCUCUUCAAGGAGCUUUCAGUCUAUCAUUAGCCAUCAGGGAAAUUCAAAUCAAAACCACACUGAGAUACCACCUUACGCCAGUUAGUAUGGCAAAAAUUGACAAGGGCAAGAAA